GUGCGCAGUUCCCGUGCCCUAGGAGUUGGCGGCGGGGCCCAGCCGAGGUAUAAGUUCCACAGCUUCACCCUUGUCGGUGUGAUAUGGGCGUGAAAGAAGACAUAAAACAGGCUUCCCGAGUAGAACCUGCCACCCCGGGCUGGUGGGGACGCGGCACCAGGCCGGGCCGGGGGAAGCCGCUCGGACAGUGGUCCUUGGAAUCUUCUUCCCUUCUGGUCUGACUAGGAAAGCCAGAGGGAGAUGGUGAAGGAGACACAGAGAGAGUAAAAGAACAGACCAUGCCCAGCCUCUCCACUGCAGGAGCUUGGAAUCAGUUCUGGAGGCAGAAGGCUAAGAUCAAGGCACCAGCAAGUUUGGUGUCUCGUGAGGGCUGCUGUCUGCUUCCAAGAUGGCGCCUUGUUGUUGCAUCCUUGGGAGGGGAUGGGGAGAAAAAAACAAAAAGAGGCCUAGGCUGGUUGCCCCUAGCCCUUUUAUAAGGCACUAAUCCAUUCAUGAUGAGGGGAAAGCCCUCAUGACUUAAUCAUCUCGCAAAAGUAACACAUUUUAAUACCAUUACAAUGGGGAUUAGGUUUCUACAUGAAUUCUGGAGGGGACAUAUUCAAACCAUAGCACUCCACUUUCUACUUUCCCUUUUCCUAUUCUCUGUCUCCCUCUCUCCCCUGCCCCAUCUCGGUCACUGGGGUUUGUAUGCAUGUAUACAUAUAUGCAAAAUAUCUAAGUAUUUUGACCGGUGUUAAACACUGACCAUGGAUUCUCCUGGAACCUUUAUUCAACUCAGUUUAUUCUUUUGUAAAUCACAGUCACCAUUCAUUCCAUAAAUUGCCAGUGUACAAUUCAAUGAAUGUGGACAAUGUGAACACACAUAUAACACAACUCACUCAAGAUUUAGAGAGUCCCUUGUGCUCCUUUGUAGGCAAUCUCCAACCCCAUGGCAAUUACUGUUCUGAUUUUUAACACCUAGAUUUGUUCUGCCUUUUUCUGGACUUUAUAUAAAUGGAAUAAUAAACUAUAUGGGGAUUUUUGCUCAACAUUAAUGUUUUUUAAGAUUUAUCCAGUUGUUGCUUAUAUCAAUAAUUCAUUCUUUUUGUUAUUGCUAAAUAGCAACCUAUUGUAUGACUAUUCCACAGUUGUUUUUUGUUUUUAAUCUAUUCUCCUGUUGAUAGACAUUCAGUUUUUUCCCUGUUUUGGCUACUAUGAAUAAGGCUGCUAUGAACCUUCUUGUUGGCAUAUGAUUUUAUUUCUUUUGGGUAACUAUUUAGAAGAGGAAUUUCUAGGUAACAGGAUAGACACAUGUUUAUAAGAAACUGCCAGUUUUCGAAAGUGGUUGUACCAUUAUUAUACUCCCGCCAGCAGUGUUUAAGUUCUAGCUGCUGCACAUUGUCACCAGCAUAUGGUGGCAGUAUUUUAGUUUGGGCCAUUCCAGUGUUUGCGUGACAUGCCAACCAGAUUAAAACACAAAAUACGGAAGUGUAUUUUACAUGUUAAGAACUGAUGUUGUAUAUCAAUAGAAAAGAAAAAAAAAAACAGAAUUCCUCAAUUGUUUUUGCUUCUGUUAACUGUCAAGGAAACUAAUCUUCAAACCACAUAGACUAGAACUGAAAUUAUACAAGGAAAAUAGAGCCCAGGAUGACAGAGAUUCUGAGAAGACCUAGACAGUUGAAAUGAUGUUGGGUCUCCUAGCACAGAUGUCUUAUACUCUGGAGACUACUCUUCCCAUGAACAGGGGACAUGCUAGGAAUCCAGAGAGAGACUGGCAAAAUAGGAGCUACGGAAACUAAACAGAAUACAUGAGAGCUUACCAGAAAUCUACUCCCACAUGUGGAGAAAUCAGAUGGACAUUGAAGGCCCCCCAAUACAAAGGAGAUAGCAAAUUCUAAUUCCAUUCAGACUCUGGUGGUGCCAAGAGGCCCUGUGAAUUGGUAGAGCAGGGCAUGGCAACAGUAUGUAACUGAUAGGUCAUAUUACUGCAUAAAGUUAGUAACAGGAAUAUUACAAGCAAAAUUUAAUCUCUGGUUGGCAAUAAAAAGAAGAGUUCACUACCUCUAGCAGCAGGGAUUCAUGCCAGGGCUUAGUUCCAGUGAAAAAUUAUAUGCCUAGAUUAUUUAUCACUCAGGUUAAAAGAAAUUAGAUGCAAGGGUAGUCAGGUGUAUACUAGCACAUAUUCCAACAUAUAUGGUCAGUGUUAGAAUAAGGGGCUAAAGGUAAGAGCUCCUUUAGAUAUUCAGGACACAAAAUUUGUUACAGAUCACAGGAUGUGGGAGCUAUGAACUCACUGGUUGGCAGGGAUAGGACUCCACUAUUAUUGCCCCAGGGUCUAUUCAAGACUGAUCCUUCCCAUAACUGGAUACCGUUUUGCCACAUCUUAGGCAGAGAACUUCUUGAGAAAUCAUAGAGGAAUCAAAAGACUGAGAUAAAUGCCAGUUUGAUUUUUCAAAAAUGGAAAAAGUACGUUUAUUGAACCAAAGAUUCAUUCAUUGUAACAUUUAUUGAGUGCCCUCGGGGUGCCAGGCACUGUUGCAGGACUCUCAGGACACAAGACAAUUAUGGUUCCCUGCUGUCAUGGAGUUUUCAAUAUACUAAACUCAAAGGUAAACUCUGGAAAUUGAUGUCAAUUCCAGGCAAAAUUGUAGGAUAGCCAUUGAAUGACUGGAUGGAUUUACUGAAAACAAGACAUAUUAAUCUAUUUUUUUCUUUGCCAAAGCUAUUUUACAGGAAGAUCUUAGAACUAUAUUAUUUUUAUUUUUACUUUUGCCAGCUGUAUCAUGAUAAGCUUGAAUUGAAGAAAUACAAAGGCUGUAUGGAGGUAAAAUUUGGUAGUGUAAUAACAAGUUGAACAACAAUAUCCAAGCAUUUCUGAUUAAUUAAUCAGUAUUAAUCUGGUUGCAUAUCAGAUAAUAAACAUAUUGCUA
ensembl:lncRNA LINC01725 long intergenic non-protein coding RNA 1725